rnacentral:rRNA from 1 species
AUACGUAGGGGGCGAGCGUUGUCCGGAAUGAUUGGGCGUAAAGGGCGCGUAGGCGGCCCGGUAAGUCUGGAGUGAAAGUCCUGUUUUUAAGAUGGGAAUUGCUUUGGAUACUGUCGGGCUUGAGUGCAGGAGAGGUAAGUGGAAUUCCCAGUGUAGCGGUGAAAUGCGUAGAGAUUGGGAGGAACACCAGUGGCGAAGGCGACUUACUGGACUGCAACUGACGCUGAGGCGCGAAAGUGUGGGGAGCAAACAGGAUUAGAUACCCUGGUAGUCCACACUGUAAACGAUGAUGGCUAACCGCUGGGCUUAUCAGUUCAGUGGCCAAGCGAAAGCGAUAAGCCAUCCACCUGGGGAGUACGACCGCAAGGUUGAAACUCAAAUGAAUUGACGGGG